rnacentral:rRNA from 1 species
CUACGGGAGGCAGCAGUGGGGAAUAUUGCACAAUGGGCGCAAGCCUGAUGCAGCCAUGCCGCGUGUGUGAAGAAGGCCUUCGGGUUGUAAAGCACUUUCAGCGGGGAGGAAGGCAGUAAGGUUAAUAACCUUAUCGAUUGACGUUACCCGCAGAAGAAGCACCGGCUAACUCCGUGCCAGCAGCCGCGGUAAUA